GGCCCCUGGCAAUGGCAAAGAGACACCUUGGUGGUGGUGGUGGUGUUCUUAUGUCAGUCAGGGGCAGAGCAGAUGGCUGUCCUUUGUUCAUCCUAGCUUGAUGCCUGGCUUGGAGGCCAAAGCUGUCUUAUGCCUAGGACUCAUAA